rnacentral:rRNA from 1 species
GAUGAACGCUGGCGGCGUGCCUAAUACAUGCAAGUCGAGCGAACAGACGAGGAGCUUGCUCCUCUGACGUUAGCGGCGGACGGGUGAGUAACACGUGGAUAACCUACCUAUAAGACUGGGAUAACUUCGGGAAACCGGAGCUAAUACCGGAUAACAUGUUGAACCGCAUGGUUCAACAGUGAAAGACGGUCUUGCUGUCACUUAUAGAUGGAUCCGCGCCGCAUUAGCUAGUUGGUAAGGUAACGGCUUACCAAGGCAACGAUGUGUAGCCGACCUGAGAGGGUGAUCGGCCACACUGGAACUGAGACACGGUCCAGACUCCUACGGGAGGCAGCAGUAGGGAAUCUUCCGCAAUGGGCGAAAGCCUGACGGAGCAACGCCGCGUGAGUGAAGAAGGUCUUCGGAUCGUAAAACUCUGUUAUUAGGGAAGAACAAAUGUGUAAGUAACUAUGCACGUCUUGACGGUACCUAAUCAGAAAGCCACGGCUAACUACGUG